rnacentral:sRNA from 1 species
GGACCACUCCGACGGGGAGUUAAGGCCAUACGGACAGCCGGGUCCAAUGCCGA